GCCGAGGUGGUGGAACUGGUAGACACGCAGUGUUGAGGGCGCUGUGGGCUAGUCCCGUGGGGGUUCGAUUCCCCCCCUCGGCA
rnacentral:tRNA from 1 species